GAAGCAAUGUUUUGCAUACUGUUCGAUGUUUCCAAAAGAUUUUGAUUUUGAAAAGGAAGAAUUAAUUUGGCUUUGGAUGGCUGAAGGUUUUGUUGUGCCAUCUAGUGAAGAUGAGGGCAACAAGUAUUCUAAUGCCUUACUUCAAAAUUCUUUUUUCCAAGAUGUGGUGAGGGAUGAAUACGGUAAUAUUGGAAAGUGCAAAAUGCAUGAUCUUGUACAUGAUCUU
rnacentral:misc_RNA from 1 species